GAGUAAUGUGUGCUGUGCUGAUUUCCUUUAUUUUUUAAGGUGAGUCCACUACCGUGCCAUGCUGUAGGACCCUACUCUUGUAAAAGAGUUUGUGGAAGAAUCUUAGAUUGUCAGAAUCACACAUGUAUGAAAGAAUGCCACAAAGUAACCAAAACUGAUGGCUGCACUGGAAAAAACAAGGCUGGCCCAGAAUGCCUUCCUUGUGAGGAAGGGUGCUCCAAGUCACGGCCACUAGGUUGUCUUCACCCAUGUAUUUUGCCAUGUCACCCUGGAGAAUGUCCACCUUGUGUUCAGAUGCUUAGAAUGAAAUGUCACUGUAAGAUCACAAGCCUAUAUGUGGAAUGUAGAAAAAUAACCACAGCUGAUGUAAAUGAAAAGAACCUCCUCAGUUGUUGCAAAAAUCAGUGCCCUAAAGAGCUUCCUUGUGGUCAUAGAUGCAAAGAGAUGUGUCAUCCUGGUGAAUGUCCCUUUAAUUGCAACCAGAAGGUAAAACUUAGAUGUCCUUGUAAAAGAAUAAAAAAGGAAUUGCAGUGCAACAAAGUACGUGAAAAUCAGGUUUCAAUAGAAUGUGACACAACGUGCAAGGAAAUGAAGCGGAAAGCAUCUGAGAUAAAAGAAGCAGAAGCCAAAGCUGCUUUUGAAGAAGAAAAACGAAGACAACAGGCUGAACUAGAAGCUUUUGAAAACAGACUGAAGGGUCGUCGGAAGAAGAACAGGAAAAGAGAUGAAGUGGCAGUUGAGCUAUCACUAUGGCAAAAACAUAAAUAUUAUCUCCUUUCAGUGUGUGGAGUUGUGGUUGUGGUGUUUGCAUGGUACAUCACCCAUUAUGUCAAUUAAAAAAAGUUUUGAUCUUUUAAUGUAACUCAGAUUGGAUUUAGAUAAGUUGUUAAAUUUGAAAUAUUAGAAAAUAUAUAUUAUAGAACAUGAUAUAUAUUUACAUUCGUCUCUGUAUUCUCUCUGCUGUUGUUAGAAGGACAGAAUGUUAAACUUUAUCUUAAUUAGUAUAGUAGAAAGGGCAGUAAAAUACUGUUUAAAGUGAAGGCAUGACUGAAACUGUAAAAUAUUUCAUAAGGCUUAGCUAGAGGCAGAGUAACAUGUGUUUUUGUUUAUUGGGCUUCCUUGUACUUAGUUUUUUCAUUUAAUAAUUCAAACCAACACUUUUUAAAAAAUAAUUCAGAUGAAACUGAGCCAUAUCUGCAGUAAGAGAAAUAUUUCUUAAUGUUUUGGUUACUUAUGAUAGAGUACUUUUCUUGAUAAUGUUAACUUUGUGCUUUUUUAAAAAAGUGAUUCUCUAACAGACCUCUUAAAUUGUGACAUGAAGGUAUGUAAUUAGAUUUCAGAAGUUGGUUUAUUAGUGAGGAAUUUUUAUCAAUAAAUGACAUGUGGCGUGUUCUUCAGAAUAUAUAGUUAUUUUCAACAAAUGCCAGGCUAGAUUCCUCACAUGUGGCUAUUUGUUAUGUAAGAAGCUUUUAACUGAAGCUGGCAUGUUUCGUAAAACUUGUGUGUCUUUUAAAAAUAAUAAAAGGAAGAUGAGCAUUUAUGAAGAAUAUGUGCUGCCAACAGGGCUUAUGAGCUCUAUGUACUUUAAUCUCAUUUCUCCUUACCACAAUCUUAAAUAGAUUUCAGCUGAAAAUAAUCAGUUCUUAUGAAAACAAAUAGAGAAAUAUCAGUAAGUCAAAUCUGUUUGAAUUAUAAUUCCUUUCAAAUAGUUCUGCUAUUUAAUUUAUAUGAUUAAUAUUUUCAUUAAAAUUUUUGAUACCAAA
rnacentral:sRNA from 1 species